AACGUAGGACGCAAGCGUUAUCCGGAGUUACUGGGCGUAAAGCGCGGGCAGGCGGCUCGAAACGUCUGAUGUGAAAUCUCCUCGCUCAACGGGGAGAGGCCAUUGGAAACGGUCGAGCUGGAGGGCAGUAGAGGUAGGCGGAAUCCCGGGUGGAGUGGUGAAAUGCGUAGAGAUCCGGAGGAACACCAGAGGCGAAGGCGGCCUACUGGGCUGCACCUGACGCUGAGCCGCGAAAGCCAGGGGAGCGAACGGG
rnacentral:rRNA from 1 species